UUAAACUGAAGAGUUUGAUCAUGGCUCAGAUUGAACGCUGGCGGCAGGCUUAACACAUGCAAGUCGAGCGGUAACAGAGAUAGCUUGCUAUCUGCUGACGAGCGGCGGACGGGUGAGUAACGCGUAGGAAACUACCCGGUAGUGGGGGACAACCGUUGGAAACGACGGCUAAUACCGCAUACGCUCUACGGAGGAAAGGGGGCUUCGGCUCUCGCUAUCGGAUGUGCCUGCGUGAGAUUAGCUAGUUGGUGGGGUAAAAGCCUACCAAGGCGACGAUCUCUAGCUGGUCUGAGAGGAUGAUCAGCCACACUGGGACUGAGACACGGCCCAGACUCCUACGGGAGGCAGCAGUGGGGAAUAUUGGACAAUGGGCGCAAGCCUGAUCCAGCCAUGCCGCGUGUGUGAAGAAGGCUUUCGGGUUGUAAAGCACUUUCAUCAGUGAGGAAAGGGUAGUAGUUAAUACCUGCUAU
rnacentral:rRNA from 1 species